UAGAUAAUUUAAAAGAUUAUUGCAUUAUUUUGGAUGUUGGAAUGAAAUGCAUUUUUGUAAUUGUCGUUCAUCUGUAGAAUAUUACAAAGAUGCAUUAAUAAAAUUUUUCAAUGAUCUGAUUUCUAGAAUCUAGAGAUGCAUUUUUGUUUGUGUGAUUUAUGUAUAGGCAUUAUUUUUUAUAAACAAGAUAGAUUGAGGUACGAUAGAGAUGUGCAACAUGCAUCAAUUCAAAGGGAAAAAAUCAAUCAUUGCAGACACAUGUUAUUUUUUGGGACGGAGAGAAAAAACUUAGUUGUAUUCAUUCUUUGAAAAAUAUGUUUGUGAUAAUAUUUGAAGUUUCUGACGAUGAUUUAAUCUUCAAGACCGUGAUACUUUAAAAUGCAUCAACCAUGGCCGAAAGAUUAUGUGUUUGCCACAACCUGGGUAGUGGUUUGAAGAUGUAACACAAUUAUCUGGAUUUGGAGACUUUGGAUUAGGAGACUUGUGCAUGAUCAAUUAUGUUACAGUUAAUCAUGAUAUGUUGUCCACAUUUAUAGGAAGAUGACACUCAGAGACAUCAUUUUUCACCUUUCACAUUCUGAGAUGUCAAUCACAUUGAACGAUGUCUCAUGCUUAUCUUUCGAUCUAGGUGAGAUGUUAUACUAACACAGGAUUGACAAAGAUGGUGCAAUGGAGAUGAUAGUAGACUAUCUAGGAGCUGAUUCAUGGGAUGCCCGUAGGAGUUAUAAGCCACCCGAGGGCUCAUGCCAGGUUUCGACCAAACAUAUGAUAGGUAGCAUGACACUGUUGACGGGCUUUAGUGAGGAGUGUUUGCGGUGUAUAUGUGGUGGGUCCGAAGAUGCAUCUUUAGAUUAAAUUGGAAAUCAUAUGAGGUGAUCCAUACAGUGACGAAUGACAUUUAGGCUGUGCAAUAUGCAUGCGACUUUUCAGCUGUGGAUGAUGUCGAUCUUCUCUGACUUCCUGGAGGAUAUCAUAAAGGUCUUUACAGACGAUUUUUUUUGGUGUGUGGGUCGAGCUUUAAGGAUUGUUUAGCUAAUUUGGAGAAGAGAUGAGUGAAACUCGAUACUGAAUCGGGAAAAAUGUCGCUUUAUGGUGAAGGAGGGCAUAAUCCUCGGACAUCUGGUGUCUGAACAAAGGAUAGAGGUUGACAAAGCCAAGAUUUAGGUGAUAGAAAAGUUAAUGCCUCCCACCACGGUGAGAGAAGUCCGAAGUUUCGUAGGACAUACUAGUUUUUAUCGGUGAUUCAUUAGAGACUUCUCAAAAUAUUCAAAACCCAUGACCGACCUGCUUAUGAAGGACGCCAAAUUCAACUUCGAUGAACAGUGCCUUCAGUCCUUCCAAAAACUAAAGCAUGCACUAAUCUCUACACUAAUAAUGCAACCUUUGGAUUGGAGUCUUUUAUUCGAAAUUAUGUGUGAUGCAAGCGAUUAUGAAGUUACUAGGACAACAGAAGGACAAGAAGAUGCACACCAUCUAUUAUGCAAACAUAAAUAUGGAUGAAGCUCAUAUAAAUUAUGCCACUAUUGAGAAGGAGCUUCUGACUAUAGUCUAUGUCAUUGAUAAAUUUUGUUCUUACUUAGUAGGAUAGAAAAUUAUCGUUUACACUGACCAUGGAUCCAUCAUAUACCUGUUGAGCAAGAAGGAUGUGAAGCCCAAGUUGAUUCGGUGGAUUUUGCUGUUGCAAGAGUUUGGUUUAGAGAUCCGAGAUAAGAAGGGAACGGAGAACGUGGUGACAGAUCAUUUAUCAAGAUUUUGUGAUUUGAAAAAGGAAGAGUUGACUUAGGAUGACUCUUUUCCCGAUGAUAGGUUGAUUGCGCUAGUAUAAUCUAAAGUGCCAUGGUAUACUGACUUCGUUAACUACCUCACAGUUGGAGUCUUGCCUCUAGAUAUAACUACCAGCGCAAUAAGAAGUUCAUUCAUGAUCUGAAACAGUACUACUGAGAUGAAUCUCCAUUGUUCAACAGAGGCGCAAACGGUAUUUUCGACGGUGUGUCCGCGAAGAGGAACUGGAAAGUGUGAUAACCCAUUGUCAUGCCUUCGUCUAUGGCAGACAUGCAAGUACAUCAAAGAUUGUUUCGAAGAUUCUCCAAGUUGGCCUCUAUUGACCAAUCCUCUUUUAGGAUGUCCACAUGUUUAUUGCAAAGUGUGGCUAGUGCCAAAGCAUUGGGAACACUUCUAAAAGGAAUGAAAUAUCAUUGAAAAAUAUCUUAGAGGUUGGAAUAUAUGAUGUAUGUGGCAUGAACUUCAUGGGAACUUUCCCUUCCUCAAUGUGUAACCAUUUCAUACUCAUUGUUGUCGAUUACAUAUCGAAAUGGAUCAAGACCACCGCCUUAUCGACAAAUGAGACAUGAGUAGUUAUCAAGUUGUUCAAGAAAAUCAUCUUCCAAUGGUUCAGAGUCCCUAUGCUUGUUAUAAUCGAUGACAAAUCCCAUUUUAUCUCAAGACAGUUUAAAAAUCUAUUGAAUAAAUAUGGGGUGGCGCACAGAGUUGCAACCUCUUACCCUCCGCAAAUAAGCGGUCGAAUUGAAGUCUCUAAUAGAGAAAUCAAGAAAAUCUUAGAAAAGACCGUCUCCACCUCAAGAAAGGAUUGGGCUGCUAAGCUUGACGAUGCACUAUGGGCCUAUAGGACCACCUAUAAGACACCCAUUGGGACCACCCCAUUCCAACUUGUCUAUGUGAAGUCCUGUCAUUUUCCGGUUGAACUAGAACACAAAUCAUAUUGGGCUAUCAAGGCCCUUAAUAUCGAUUUUAAAGUCGCCGACAAACAAAAGAAGUUGCAAUUGCAUGAGCUAGAAGAACAUAGGCUCGACGCUUAUGAAAAUGCCAGAUUAUACUAAGAGGACAACACUUUGGAAUGAUAACUGCAUCAUUAGGAGAGAAUUUCAUGAAUGAGAACUUGUAUUACUAUUUAACUCCGGGUUGAAGUUAUUCCUAGGGAAACUCCGCUCGUGGUGGUCGGGACCAUUUCAUGUGAAAAAAGUAAUGUCGUUGGGAGCGGUGGAAGUAUGUAGUACAUCCACUACAUCAUUUGCAGUGAAUGGGCAGAGGCUCAAGCACUAUGUGACUAGAGAGGACGUUGAAAGGAGCAUUUGCUUCACUCUAAAGGCACCCUCUAGAGACUGAGAAGUGAAAAAUUCGAGCUAAACGACUAUAAACAAAGCAUUGUAUGGGAGACAACCCACAUGUUUUUCAUUUUUUAUUUAUUAUUUACUUAGGAAAAUAAAAUAGACUAUUCGCUGUGAAAAGGUCAAAAAACCAGGCAUCCGAUAAGCGAAGAGAGUAUGGUGACAAAUAAGUAAAGGAAUGACGUCUGUCAUUGUCCUAACGGUUGUCACAGUUUGAAAUUCCAUGCUAGAACAUACACGUGACCCUUGAGUUGCUAACAAUCAGCCCGUUAGCCACACUGACGCCCAUCAACAACCUGGGACCGAAACCCUAAGUCUCAAAAACGUAAAAAGCCGGUCAUAAGCCCUCUCAUCAAUUAAAAUCAAUGCCUUUUCCUCAAAAUCGAAAACUAUUCUCUCUCCUCACUUACAAAACCAUGUAAACAAUAAAUUUCUCCUUCUUCUUCCAUUUAAAACCACUCACUUCACCUUCCUCAUAUAAAUAAAAACUCCAAUAACAUUAAACCUCUACCUCCCAUUUCAAAACCAUAAACAAAACCAUCAUAGUUCAUUAAUAAACAUCCAUAAAAGUACCCAUUUUUCUCAAAAUCCGAAAAUAUCAUCCUUCACCUGCACAAUUUCAAAAAUUGAAAAUUAUCACCUCUAGCCACCAAAACUGAAAGUCAUCAUGUCUCCAAGGAGAAGAGAAAUUGUUGACUACAUGGGAAUAAAGUUAAAGAAUGAGAGCAAUGAUGUGAUUGAAAAGUUUGCUCAGAGGCAUAUAACGCUUACCAGGUAUGCUGACGAAUCUUGUCUUGGAACUCUGGAUCGGUUUGAUAGUGUUAAUUGGAUGUUCAACCAGAUUGGUUGAAGUCAUUUUUUGACUUUUCAACAUCCAACAUACGAGAGUCUCACACUUGAAUUUGUGAGUUCCUUUAAGUAUCAAUAUGCUAUAAGAACUAGGAGAUGUUUCGGAACAACCACCUUUCGGUUGUUUAACCAAAAGUUUAAGUAUAACUAGAAUGAAAUAAGGGACUUGCUGCAGUUCUCUACAUCUUCUAGCGCCGCCCAAUGGGUUUUCAAAGAGGGACCCUGGAAAAUUGAGUUUGACACAUUUUGGCAGCGGUUGACUGGGAAAAUUUCCUAUAACAUGGAAGGGAAGAAAUCUUCCCACAUUCACAACCCGACCAUAAGGUACUUUUAGAAAGUCCUUGCGCAUACCGUAUUUGGCAAGGGUGAUAACACUAGUAAUGUUAAGAUGAAAGAACUUUACAUUACUUACUUCUCUCUUCAUUAUCUCCCUAUCCACACUUUGGCAUUUAUGCUCACGCACAUGGAAAAAUGGCCAUGGCGAAGAAAGUAAAUAUUGUGGUUGGAGGCUUGAUUACCUCCAUAGAUGUAGCCUUAGGCCUCUGUGCUGAGAUUAGCCAGUUGUAUCUUAUUAUUGGCAGAGCUGUGCUAGACUUGCAUUCAUGUCUUGCCCAGAAGCCUAUUAGGCUGAGAGAUCUACACUCAUAUAUCCUAAUGUUUAGAAAUAAAAGCAUGCAAACACAUGGUGCUGCCAAACCCACAAUAACCAACAUACAAGAUGAGGAAAAUUGGCUUUAUAUAGUGGGUACUGAUGUCCUCAGUAAGACCAACCCCAAUUUCCUCUUCCACAACAACCCUAACCCCAACCCUUUCCCCAUAUGCAUUAUAAUUUUCCUUCGUGUACCUAGUAUGAUUGCCAGGUUAGUGUCGAGUAUGAGCUUAAUGCUCUUUGACACAAAGUAAAGGACAUGCGGGAUAAGGAGCAAGCUUGCUACGAUAGGGAGAACGAAUGGGACCACAAGGAUAAACUUACCUAUUCCUUGGUUCGGCAUAUGCAUUUAUGGUUGAUCAUAAACUCCAGUAUGCCAUCGGCCAACUCCGAUAGCAAUUGAUCUCGCACCAUGUACUAUCUUUCCUUUCCCUUGCUUUUAUCUUUUAACAUUGAGGAUAAUGUAGGCUUUAAGUGUGGGGGAGAAAUUUCUGGUUUUUUUCUAGUUUAGAUUUAUUGUUUUCUAGUUUAGGAUCUCCCCGCUUUCUAGUUUAGAGAUUUAUGCUUAUUUUCUAGUUUAAUUGUUACUGGUUUGAGUCGUUUGCUUGUGUUAUCGAGUUAUUCAUGCGUGCAAAUUCUGCUUGUGUUGUUUGCUUAUCCAUUUUUUGAACUUUUUUUUUUUGAAAAAGCUCAUGAUUGGUAUUGUCCCAACACCUAGCCUCCCAAAUUUGAUAUCGAUUUAAAUCUGCCUUGUAUCAUAGUCUCUACAACUUUUUGAAGUAAUCUCCAAGUAGUUUAUUGAUACAAUCAUACAUACUUUUGAUUCACACAUUAAGUUUGGUUAGCAAAUACAAAUUUGAAAAAAAUAAAAAAGGGCAGUAAAAGGCAACUGUAUCCACUAAGUUUGGUAACCCUCACUCGAUUACUUAAUCCAAUGGUGGUUGAACCCUAAUGUUCACAAAAAAAUAAAAUAAGAAAAUCGUGCUUAAUGUAUGCUUAUGAUAAAAAAUUAAUUUGCAAGCAUUAAUAAAUGAAGAAACAAAAAUUCGUUGGUUUUUCCUUACGUGUGUGUGAUGGUUAUCUUUAUAUUUAUUGGCUUAAUGUGAUUGUCCCGAAUGAAAGGAGAUGAAAAUAUUGGAUAAGUAGCAUUAGGUACAAGGCCAUGGUUUGAGUUAAUAUUUUAGGCGGGAGUCUUUAAUCAGAAAUUCGUAGUUUGUGUUUCUACAAUACCCUUGGUGUUAAUUUGAGUACCAAAAGAAUUAACCUUUAGCCGAUCCGAAUUUGGGAUCACGUAUGAGUAUUGGUGUUAGUACUUUUUAUAAGCUCUUUUCAUAUGUGUUGCUGCAUUUUCAUUUCUUUUAUGCAAUCUAAGUUGCUUGAAGACAAACAGUCGUUCAAGUGUGUGGGAGUUUGAGAACAACUAUUUUCACCGUAUUAUUUAGUUUGAUUUAACACUUUCAAUGACGUUUGGCAUUCUUUUUAUUGAGAUAAGCUGACUUUUUCAUUAUAUUGCAGGUAAUGAACGAUGUUUAUCGGUUGCAGAGAGUAACUACGAAAAAAAUAAGAAAAAUAAAGGUUUAGGAACCAUGACGAGUAGGAUGACGCCCGUCAUGCCCUCAAUCUUCCAAACCAUCACGGUCUCAAUGUAAAAACAAAAUAAUCCAAGUGAAAAACCCAUGACAAGCAUGCCUUCAUGCAUCAUGAUUCCCUUCAUGGGCCCAACUUCCAGAAUCCAGACCCACGCAUCAUAACGGGCAUCCCAUCAUGACGUCCAGAUCUGCAAUUUCUUGGUUUUUCGGCAGCAGUUGCAACAUUUUCUCUAGGAUGUUUUCAUCGGUUCCAACAUGAAUUUUAGGGAUUCCAACUGCUACUUAGUGCUAGGAAACAUAUUAAAAGGGGAUUGCAAUUGAUUUUAAA